GACGAACGCUGGCGGCGUGCUUAACACAUGCAAGUCGAACGGUGAUGCUCCAGCUUGCUGGAGUGGAUCAGUGGCGAACGGGUGAGUAACACGUGAGCAACCUGCCCCAGACUCUGGAAUAAGCGCUGGAAACGGCGUCUAAUACUGGAUACGAAACUGGCCCGCAUGGGCAUGGUUUGGAAAGUUUUUCGGUUUGGGAUGGGCUCGCGGCCUAUCAGUUUGUUGGUGAGGUAAUGGCUCACCAAGGCGACGACGGGUAGCCGGCCUGAGAGGGCGACCGGCCACACUGGGACUGAGACACGGCCCAGACUCCUACGGGAGGCAGCAGUGGGGAAUAUUGCACAAUGGGCGCAAGCCUGAUGCAGCGACGCCGCGUGAGGGAUGACGGCCUUCGGGUUGUAAACCUCUUUCAGCAGGGAAGAAGCGAAAGUGACGGUACCUGCAGAAGAAGCACCGGCUAACUACGUG
rnacentral:rRNA from 1 species